UUCAGAAACAUUUCAGUAGCUUCUAAAAUAGUUAAAACAUAUGCCUAUGAGAUGGCUCAGCCAUUCCAAAUCUUAUGUUUUUUUUUCCUCCCAAGAGAAAUGGAAGCAUAUGUCCAUGCAGAAAUCUGUACACAAAUAUUCACAGCAGCUUUAUUUGUGAUAGCCCUAAGCUGGAAACAACUCAAAUGUCCAUCAAAAUGUGAAUGGACCAAUUGUGAUAUGCCCAUGCAAUGGAAUACCACUUAGCAAUAAACAGGAUGGAAGUGUUAAUGCAUGCUAAAACAUGGAGAAAUCUUAAAAUAAUUAUGCCGAAUGAAAGAAGCUAUUCACACUCCACUCAGAAAAGUACCCGCUAUGUGAUUCUAUUUAUAUAACAUUCUAGACACUGCAACGUAAUCUACAGUGACAGAGGCAGAUUAGAGGUCACCAGCCCAUUUGUUGGAGGAUGGAAAGGAAUGAAAGUAGAGAUUACAAAGGGGAAUUUGAAGAAGCAGCUUCUGCAGGUGUGAAAGGGAAAAUUCCUCAGCCAAAUUAAAUUGAGUAGAGUUUAUUUGAGCAAAGAAAAAUAAAACCCAAUUCAUGAGUCAGGCAGCUCCCAGAGCUGGGGCAGUUCUGAAAACGCUAGCCAACAAUGUGAUCAAACAGCACUUACAGAGAGACAGAAGUGAGGCGUAGGAGCGACUCAUUGGCCACAGCUUAAUCAACCAGUCAAUUCCUACAGCUCAGUUAAUUGGCUACAGGGCAUCCUGCAACCACACAGAGCUCAGUUACUGUGAUUAAAUUUUAUGUGGGUUUGGUCUGUGGGACCUAGUGCAGGUGCCUAGUACACAUCGGUGGCCUUUUACAAAACUGUACUUAACAUGGGUGACAGAGAUCUUCAUUACCUUGUUAUGAUGGAUUCAUUAUGUGUAUGCAUAUGUUGAAACUUACCAAACUGGGCAGUCUGUGUGCCACAUAUUCUAUAUCAAUCACAUCUCAAUAAAG
rnacentral:lncRNA from 1 species